CAACGAAAUCCACCCUUACGGGCAGGUGAAAUACCACUUCGCGGCGUGGAAUAUGGCUUCGCCAUAUGAAAUCGC
rnacentral:sRNA from 1 species